CAUUUCACCUGAAUGAAAUGAUUUUGGGCUGAAUGGAAUGGUCAUUCCGGGUUGAAUGAAAAAUUAUGUCGUUUGAUUAGGCCAGGUGAAUGGAAUUAGCUAUUCCGAGUUCAUUCCGUUUGGGCCAAAUAAAAAUCAACUCAUUCAUUUUAAAACACCUGGUAUAGAUUCAUUUCUUUUGUCAAAUUAAAAUGCCGGGCGUGGAAAAACAGACGACCUCUCCUCUCUAACCUAGCGACUGUUCUCCGAUGCUAUCUCUCUCUACGAACAGCGCUCUCUCUCUCUCUCCCAAUUAGCGCUCAAGCACACUCUCUCUCUCAAUUAGCUCUCUCGGUUUCGACUACUUCUUCAGAAAGUCGCCUGUUUCAUCAUUUGACAGGAACUGUCACCAUGCGCAGCAACCUGUAUGGCAGGAAGAUAAUUGCAUGUCUGGAGAAGGCAAAGAAUAACGCGAUGUGGACAUUGAACUGCUGUUGCAAAAACUGAAAAUAAAUUUGAUGUUGUUCUGUUGUUUUUACAUGGUCAAGUAGCGAAACUUUGGUGUGUAGUUGUUGAAAUAAGUGCCUUGUAUUAGUAUCGUAAACUUUGAUGGGUGCUUGUAUGAGACUUUUUGAUUUUUAUUUUAAACUUAUUUUGCUGAA